rnacentral:rRNA from 1 species
CUAGUAUAGCACUUAUACCGUGAAACUGCGAAUGGCUCAUUAAAUCAGUUAUCGUUUAUUUGAUAGUACCUUACUACUUGGAUAACCGUGGUAAUUCUAGAGCUAAUACAUGCUAAAAACCCCGACUUCGGGAGGGGUGUAUUUAUUAGAUAAAAAACCAAUGCCCUUCGGGGCUCUUUGGUGAUUCAUGAUAACUUAACGGAUCGCAUGGCCUUGCGCCGGCGACGGUUCAUUCAAAUUUCUGCCCUAUCAACUUUCGAUGGUAAGGUAUUGGCUUACCAUGGUUUCAACGGGUAACGGGGAAUUAGGGUUCGAUUCCGGAGAGGGAGCCUGAGAAACGGCUACCACAUCCAAGGAAGGCAGCAGGCGCGCAAAUUACCCAAUCCCGACACGGGGAGGUAGUGACAAUAAAUACUGAUACAGGGCUCUUUUGGGUCUUGUAAUUGGAAUGAGUACAAUUUAAACCCCUUAACGAGGAACAAUUGGAGGGCAAGUCUGGUGCCAGCAGCCGCGGUAAUUCCAGCUCCAAUAGCGUAUAUUAAAGUUGUUGCAGUUAAAAAGCUCGUAGUUGAACCUUGGGCCUGGCUGGCCGGUCCGCCUCACCGCGUGCACUGGUCCGGCCGGGCCUUUCCUUCUGGAGAGCCCCAUGCCCUUCACUGGGUGUGCGGGGGAACCAGGACUUUUACUUUGAAAAAAUUAGAGUGUUCAAAGCAGGCCUUUGCUCGAAUACAUUAGCAUGGAAUAAUAAAAUAGGACGUGCGGUCCUAUUUUGUUGGUUUCUAGGACCGCCGUAAUGAUUAAUAGGGAUAGUCGGGGGCAUCCGUAUUCAAUUGUCAGAGGUGAAAUUCUUGGAUUUAUUGAAGACGAACUACUGCGAAAGCAUUUGCCAAGGAUGUUUUCAUUAAUCAGUGAACGAAAGUUAGGGGAUCGAAGACGAUCAGAUACCGUCGUAGUCUUAACCGUAAACUAUGCCGACUAGGGAUCGGGCGAUGUUACUAUUUUGACUCGCUCGGCACCUUACGAGAAAUCAAAGUUUUUGGGUUCUGGGGG